UUCGUCAGCACUCAAGUAUGAGAACACACAUGACAAGAAAUUUAAUUCAAGUUUUUUUUAUCGCACAUUCAUCUUAUCAAUUGUUGGCUGCUGUUAGCGCUGAGUACUGCACCGCGACUUUUGUCGCUGUUUACAAGUCGUUUGCCGCCGUGGUGCACCGCCAUCUGAAAAAAGCUUGGCAUUGCAAAGAAACAGAUCCAAAUCGAAUAAAAGAUCGGCUCCAUAGAUGAGGGUAUUGUUCAGAUCGCUAAGAUCGCAGCACGUAUGUUUGCUUGAAUGUAGGUGAAAGGUAUAGCAUGUAAAUUACAUAACCCUUUUAUCAUUACGAGGAGUUUGUUUCUAAGACAACAAGAUCUGGUGUGAUGAAUUUGAGCAAUGGAUACACAUAGAAUAGCAAUGUUGAUCUUGUACUCCUGGCGUCUGAUGGGCGCUUUGGAAGAAACUAUCAGUCGCAAGUUUUGAUUAGAACUUGGAUAUCCAUACUAUACAUGCAUUUUUUUGGUGCCUCCUAAAAUUUAUUGAGGUGUGGUAAUUGGAACGUCC